rnacentral:tRNA from 1 species
GAUAUUUAGCUUAGUAGGUAAAGUGCUUGCCUAAGAAGCAUGAGGCCCUGGGUUUGAUCCCCAGCAUCA